UACGGGGGGAGCAAACGUUGUUCGGAAUCACUGGGCUUAAAGGGCGCGUAGGCGGGCCAGCAGGUCCGGGGUGAAAUCUUUCGGCUUAACCGGAAAAGUGCCUUGGAUACCGCUGGUCUAGAGGGAGGUAGGGGCAUGUGGAACUUCUGGUGGAGCGGUGAAAUGCGUUGAUAUCAGAAGGAACGCCGGUGGCGAAAGCGACGUGCUGGAUCUCUUCUGACGCUGAGGCGCGAAAGCCAGGGGAGCAAACGGG
rnacentral:rRNA from 1 species